UUCAAUCUAUGGUUCUUGCUUUGUAUUUCUUUUAAGAUAAGUCUGUGGAAGUUGGAAGAACUGAUGAAGAUCAGCAAUGCAUCUCCUGUAAAGAAAUAACUUAAUCUCCAUAAUUAGAAGGGGACGACGGGUGGGUGCAAGCAAGAUGGCGCAGCGCGGGUAGAACAAAAGUUAACGCAUCUAACGCUGCAGAACAUCCCGCCAAGAUUCUUACGAUAAGCGACGACUACAACGAGCUCUAUUAGAAACGGGAUCAGUUCAUCAAAGGAGAAGACAUUUGGACUUAUUGACCCAAAAGGAAGGUAAAACCCAAGAAGAUGUUUGAUGGAGAAUAAGAAGACUGACCAGCAAAAGUCAAAAAGCAAAAAGGAACGCUGCCAUGAGAAGGAGGCAGCAAACAAAAUGAUAGAAAGCUUAAGAGUUGAUGGUUAAAAGGAAGCACACUUCUGAUCAUCAAACUUUCCAUCAAUUGUGAGUUCUUUGAAAGCCAUGCUGGAGCGAAGUCCAUCGUCAUGGUCCACCUCACCCUACAGUGCAUCAGAUAAUCCUUCUCCAUCUCCAUCUUUGAGCAUUGUGCCAGGGAAACUUAAAGACCAGGUACCUCUGAUGCCAGGAUCUGCAGUUUGUGUAUCUGCUCGCCAACUGAAGUGUCUAAAGAGCCUGAACCCUUCUGUCUACACUGGAGAUCUUGCUGUCCUGGUGUUUGGAAGGGAAACCUUGGCUACAUCCAGUCUGACUGGCCAAGAAUAUGGAGCACACAAAGACCUUGAAUCCAAACCAGCCUUGGACCCUGAGAAGAUUGAUGCCAUAAUCGGGCAUGCUAUGGAGAAAUUCAAAGAAGUAACAGUGCAAGAUGUUUGGAGGAUCAUACGCAAGAAGUGCAACGACGAAUGCUUCAAACAAGUGAAGGCAGAAAAGAUGUGAGCCUGCAUUUCAUUUACAAUUAAAAAAAAGGGGAAGCAUAUUUUUACUUAGAAUAACCAUGACCCUUGUUCAUUUUAACAUAAUACAAAAUACCUUUUUUUUUUAAAUAUACA